UUUUAAAAUUUUCAUCUAUUUGUACUGUAAAAAACUAGCUUAGCUGACGGAAUAACUAGACAAUAAAAAGUGAUGUGCCGCGUGUAUCUCAUGUUGUCAUACAAGGACAAGUUUUUAAUGAUAGAUGGACAAAAUUUUUACAG
rfam:Gossypium raimondii Chr12_contig_807, whole genome shotgun sequence.